rnacentral:rRNA from 1 species
AUACGGAGGGUGCAAGCGUUAAUCGGAAUUACUGGGCGUAAAGCGCACGCAGGCGGUUUGUUAAGUCAGAUGUGAAAUCCCCGGGCUCAACCUGGGAACUGCAUCUGAUACUGGCAAGCUUGAGUCUCGUAGAGGGGGGUAGAAUUCCAGGUGUAGCGGUGGAAUGCGUAGAGAUCUGGAGGAAUACCGGUGGCGAAGGCGGCCCCCUGGACGAAGACUGACGCUCAGGUGCGAAAGCGUGGGGAGCAAACAGGAUUAGAUCCCCUGGUAGUCCACGCCGUAAACGAUGUCGACUUGGAGGUUGUGCCCUUGAGGCGUGGCUUCCGGAGCUAACGCGUUAAGUCGACCGCCUGGGGAGUACGGCCGCAAGGUUAAAACUCAAAUGAAUUGGCGGGG